UACGUAGGCAGCGAGCGUUGUUCGGAGUUACUGGGCGUAAAGAGUGCGUAGGCGGUUUUCUAAGUUUGGUGUGAAAUCUCCCGGCUUAACUGGGAGGGUGCGCCGAAAACUGGAAGGCUUGAGUAUGGGAGAGGUAAGCGGAAUUCCCGGUGUAGAGGUGAAAUUCGUAGAUAUCGGGAGGAACACCAGUGGCGAAGGCGGCGAUCUGGGAAGAUACUGACGCUGAGGUGCGAAAGCGUGGGGAGCAAACAGG
rnacentral:rRNA from 1 species